CAACACCACCAUGGUUACUAGACCAUGGCACUAAGUGCCACAUCCAGUCUCAUUUUAAAAGCCUGCAGGGACGGUGAAUCCACCACCUUCCUGGAUAGCCCAUUCUAAUGUCUGAUUACUCUAUCUGUAAAAAAUUUCUUCCUAAUAUCUAACCUAAACCUUCCCUGGCUCAGCUU